rnacentral:rRNA from 1 species
UCGCCUGUUUUUCAAAAACAUCGCUGAAUUAAAAUUCAGUAGGACCUGCCCGGUGAAAUUUUAACGGCCGCAGUAUUUUAACUGUGCUAAGGUAGCAUAAUCAUUAGUUUUUUAAUUGAGAACUCGUAUAAAUGAUUUGACGAGAGACUUCCUUUCCCAAUUGUACCUUAAACUUCCUCUGAAGGUUAAAAAGCCUUCCUUCUCCAAAGGGACGACAAGACCCUAUAAAACUUUACUUAAUUUUAAAAUGCUUCUUUAGAAAAUUAUUAAUUUAAAUAUAAGUUUAGCUGGGGCGGCUCGAUCUAUUUAAAACAUUUUUCACCCUAACAUAUUGAAUGAUAUUAAUGAACAUACUUUACUAACCUAAACCAAGUUACUUUAGGGAUAACAGCAUAAUAUCUCUUUAGAGCCCCUAUCGAAAGAGAUCCAUAUGACCUCGAUGUUGAAUUGGAAACUCCCCUUAGAGCAGCCUCUAAGGAAAGAAAGUCUGUUCGACUUGUUAUUUUCCACAUGAUCUGAGUUCCAAACCGGA